AUUGAACGCUGGCGGCAGGCCUAACACAUGCAAGUCGAACGAUUGGCGGCCGGGUGAGUAAUGUGUGUGAAACUAGCUUAUGUAGGGGGAUCACUACGGAAAACUGUAGAUAAUACCGCGUACCAUAGGAUGUGCCCAAGUGGGAUUAGGUCGUUGUUGGGGAAAAGGCGAACCAAGCAGACGAUCCCUAGCUGGUCGGAGAGGAUGACCAGCCCAACUGGAACUGUGACACGGCCCAGACUCCUACGUGAGGCAGCAGUGGGGAAUAUUGCGCAAUGGGGGCAAGCCUGAGGCAGCCAGGCCGCGUGGAUGAAGAAGGCCUUCGGGUUGGAAAGUACUUUCGGUGGCGAGGCGUUAACUGCAGAAGAAGCACCGGCUAACUCCGUGCCAGCCGCCGGGGUAAUAC
rnacentral:rRNA from 1 species